ensembl:processed_transcript
GACGGGACAACGACCAGGGACAGCGAGCAGGAGUAUCAGUCAGCUGGUUGCUGCCGCUGCUACAACCGACCCAGCCACAGCUGGAAUACCCUCAACCUGGGCAGUGACUACUGUGCUCUACACAGUCAGCGGCUGAAGGGCAGCCACGUGCCAGCCACUGAAAAUGCUCACGGCACACAUCCCUGCUGACCUUCCCCAAGACCAUGGAGAGGCAGCUGAGUCCUUAGCUUGAGGAAGACAGGAUAACAGCCUGUUCCCGCUGCUAGAGGCCAGUGAGAUGGAGAGGCUUGCAGAGGUCACUGAUCAAUGGGUGAGUCUCAAAUGUCGUAUGGAUAAGUCUGGGCCAGGACACGGGUUUCCUUCCUUCCUUCCUUUUUUGGAGGGGAGAGGGCUUAAGGCAGGGUCUAAGUUGCCCACUGACCUCAAACACACUCUAUAGCCCAGUGCGUGAAGUUAGGAUCUUCCUGCCUCAGAGUCUGCACCAGAGAGAAUGACAAGCACGUGUGCCACCACACCUGGCUCAGAUAAGAUCUCUCUACGUGUGUUGACAUGUGCACACACCACGUGACGGCGUGUAUGUGCAUCUGUGCGUGUCUGUGGAGGUCAAACUCAGA